rnacentral:rRNA from 1 species
GAUUAACGCUGGCGGCGUGCCUAACACAUGCAAGUCGAGCGGCAGCGAGUUUUACACUGAAUUCUGGAAGCUUCUAGUUGAAAGAGAAGAUUUAUUCAAGAAUUUUGUGUAAAAUGUCGGCGAGCGGCGGACGGCUGAGUAACGCGUGGGAACGUACCCCAAAGUGAGGGAUAACGCAUCGAAAGGUGUGCUAAUACCGCAUAUGGUCUUCGGAUUAAAGCCUUCGGGCGCUUUGGGAACGGCCUGCGUAAGAUUAGAUAGUUGGUGGGGUAAUGGCCUACCAAGUCGACGAUCUUUAACUGGUUUGAGAGGAUGAUCAGUCAGACUGGAACUGAGACACGGUCCAGACUCCUACGGGAGGCAGCAGUGAGGAAUCUUCCACAAUGGGCGAAAGCCUGAUGGAACAACGCCGCGUGCAGGAUGAAGGCCUUCGGGUUGUAAACUGCUUUUAUAAGUGAGGAUUAUGACAGUAACCGAUGAAUAAGGAUCGGCUAACUACGUG